UAGGGAAUCUUCCGCAAUGGGCGAAAGCCUGACGGAGCAACGCCGCGUGAGUGAUGAAGGUCUUCGGAUCGUAAAACUCUGUUAUUAGGGAAGAACAAAUGUGUAAGUAACUAUGCACGUCUUGACGGUACCUAAUCAGAAAGCCACGGCUAACUACGUGCCAGCAGCCGCGGUAAUACGUAGGUGGCAAGCGUUAUCCGGAAUUAUUGGGCGUAAAGCGCGCGUAGGCGGUUUUUUGAGUCUGAUGUGAAAGCCCACGGCUCAACCGUGGAGGGUCAUUGGAAACUGGAAAACUUGAGUGCAGAAGAGGAAAGUGGAAUUCCAUGUGUAGCGGUGAAAUGCGCAGAGAUAUGGAGGAACACCAGUGGCGAAGGCGACUUUUUGGUCUGUAACUGACGCUAAUGUGCGAAAGCGUGGGGAUCAAACAGG
rnacentral:rRNA from 1 species